UACGUAGGGGGCUAGCGUUGUCCGGAAUCAUUGGGCGUAAAGCGCGUGUAGGCGGUCCGGUAAGUCCGCUGUGAAAGUCGGGGGCUCAACCCUCGGAUGCCGGUGGAUACUGUCGGACUAGAGUACAGAAGGGGCAACUGGAAUUCUCGGUGUAGCGGUGAAAUGCGUAGAUAUCGAGAGGAACACCUGCGGCGAAGGCGGGUUGCUGGGCUGAUGACUGACGCUGGAGGCGCGAAAGCCAGGGGAGCAAAACGGG
rnacentral:rRNA from 1 species